AAUCAACGCUGGCGGCGUGCCUAACACAUGCAAGUCGCACGAGAAAGGGGAGCAAUCCCUGAGUAAAGUGGCGCACGGGUGAGUAACACGUGAAUCAUCUACCUCCGAGUGGGGAAUAACUGAGAGAAAUCUUAGCUAAUACCGCAUAACACUUACGAGUCAAAGCAGCAAUGCGCUUGGAGAGGAGUUCGCGGCCGAUUAGUUAGUUGGCGGGGUAAGGCCCACCAAGACGAUGAUCGGUAUCCGGCCUGAGAGGGCGCACGGACACACUGGAACUGAAACACGGUCCAGACUCCUACGGGAGGCAGCAGUGGGGAAUUUUGCGCAAUGGGGGAAACCCUGACGCAGCAACGCCGCGUGGAGGAUGAAGUAUCUUGGUACGU
rnacentral:rRNA from 1 species